rnacentral:lncRNA from 1 species
GGGAGAAGUGAUGCUGCUUGCAAGGGUCGAUGCACACUGCAAUUCACCUCCAGAAUACCACUCUCAACUCCAAACUUCUCUCAGUUGUACGGUGAGAGUGAAGACAACAGAGCAAGGAGACUCUGGCUCCCAUUAGGUGGCCUCUCCUUCUCUGCUUCCGUGUUAUUUCCUUAAAGCUCUGCUUGUCCUUUCCUGAUCUCCAUAUUCCUCAGAGCACAGAAGUGCUACCUGCGAACUCUCCUUGGUCCAGGGAUGCAGAGAGAGAAAGAGGAAACAGGCAGGCAAUUACCCCAUGUGGCUCAGAGUCACAAGGCCAAGGGAAGCCACGCUGUAUAGAAGAGGAGCUUGGCUUCCUGGUUCACCUUUGUCAUCUUUCCUAG